CUUGGCUCCUCAAUCAAGGGACUGGAGCAGCUGCAACUAAGUUCAGGUCACCUGGCUCAGUUUAACACCGGCUGCCUGGAGAAAAAGGAAAUUAGCGGCUAACUCUGCUGUGGUAUGUGACCUCACAGAGCGGCAGCCAAGGCCAAGACUGGCACACACACACACAAACACGACUUUACAGAGAAAUGAUUGUAAAGGUUUUCUUUAUUUAAGACACCUCAUGCACUACAACCAGUACAAACCUCCUGAUAUUCAGUGGAGUGUGAUUAUUACACGAAAAGGAUUUCUUAAUGAUUUCACACUUUUAUUCUAUCAAACUACAAUAACACUGAUAUAUAGAGUUUUAUUUAUAUGUAUAUGUUUGUAGAAAGAGAUGAAAGCAAUAAAAUACAGAUGUGCUCAAAUGAAAAGGAACUACAGCUUACAGAAAAAAGAAUCACAAAGUGUUGACACUAGAUAUAUAAAAAUGUAAAAAAAAGUUUUCAAACAGCACAACAACAGUAUACACUCUGAUUUUCUUUCUGUUUUCCAAUUAAGUUUGUAUCGACUCACAGCUAAAUAUAUUUACAUUAGAAAAUAUAGCAUUUAUGACCAUGUGGGAUAUUCCUGAAUCAGCAGACCUGUUCUGAGAGCUGCUUUUGUUCCCGUGCGCAGACUGAAUGUGAAGCAGGUGGAACAUGAAAAUAAAGCUCCUCCAUCCUGUUUCACGGGCCGUACAAAAUGGCCCUCUGUUCUCCUACACCUGGUGCGGUUAACUCGCCUUCCAACCCAAACACGUCUACCCUCCGCGGCUGGAAUCGUGGUUAACCUUUUCAUCUGCGAGCACCGGCCAGUCUGGGGAGGCUAGUUUCCAUUAAGGCGUGUGAAAUUUUGGAGGUUCAGAGGUGGAACGGAUACAGGUAAAAAUGCAAGGUAAGCAGAAAACAUGUUAUUCCAUUUACAACUGAAGGGUUGACUCUACGGGGAACAAAAUAGACCUCUGGGGUUUUCAAUGCUACGCUCUUUAUAUAGAUAUUGCUGUAUUAUAGUGAUUCUGUAAAGGACUGGAAACAUUCAUUUCAAAAUUAAACUUUUCAAUCUGUUUAAUCACCUCAUGGGAAAAA